rnacentral:rRNA from 1 species
AGUUGGUGGGGUAAAGGCCUACCAAGGCGACGAUGCAUAGCCGACCUGAGAGGGUGAUCGGCCACACUGGGACUGAGACACGGCCCAGACUCCUACGGGAGGCAGCAGUAGGGAAUCUUCCGCAAUGGGCGAAAGCCUGACGGAGCAACGCCGCGUGAGUGAAGAAGGAUUUCGGUUCGUAAAGCUCUGUUGUUAGGGAAGAAUGAUUGUGUAGUAACUAUACACAGUAGAGACGGUACCUAACCAGAAAGCCACGGCUAACUACGUGCCAGCAGCCGCGGUAAUACGUAGGUGGCAAGCGUUGUCCGGAAUUAUUGGGCGUAAAGCGCGCGCAGGUGGUUUAAUAAGUCUGAUGUGAAAGCCCACGGCUCAACCGUGGAGGGUCAUUGGAAACUGUUAAACUUGAGUGCAGGAGAGAAAAGUGGAAUUCCUAGUGUAGCGGUGAAAUGCGUAGAGAUUAGGAGGACACCAGUGGCGAAGGCGGCUUUUUGG